rnacentral:lncRNA from 10 species
GCGACCCGCCCCUCCCUAGGCCCGAGGACGCGCCCGCAGCAGGCGAACGGCUUCGGGUGCCAGGAGCUCAGCAAGCUGGGGACCCCCUGGGCGAGGAGUACAAAGGACCCCAGGCGAAGCCGGCGCCGGGAGGCAGAGCUGACUCCCGCGGGACUCUACCGGCCUGCGAGCGUUCGUCACGUGCUCGGUGGCUGAGGGGCCGUCCCGGCCGGGCGGGCUUCACCGCGUGGGCGCGGCAGUCGCCACUCACCGAGGUUGACGACCUUGAGCGCCGUGAAGAAGCGGUUCUGCCGGGCCAGGUCCUGCCAGGGAGCCUUGGAGCAGUGGCGUGGGUUCUCACUAUGUUGCUUAAGCUGGUCCAGAACUCAAGCCAGUCUCUCACUUCAGCCUCUUGAGUCGUUGGGAUUACAGAAGCCACCAUGUCCAACUGAAAGAGAUCAAGGGGAUUCUUGUGAGCAAGGUUCUUCCUGGUACCUGAUUGGGCAACUGGAUGAAGAAGAGGGAAAGGAAAAAGCUGCCUGAGCCCCCCAAGACAUCAGGUGCCCUCCUUAUGGUGACUGCAGAGAUCCUGGGAAGAGUCAAAGGUUAUUCAAAUCCAGACUGGACCCAAAGGGGUUCACAGAGAGGCAGGAGACCGCUUGGAAAAGCACCUAACAGGAAGCCAGAGUAGGUCCUCUGAAGGUGUUUGUUCAAUGAACUUGUCAUCCUCCUCAACUUAAAGCCUUUAGCUUUUCCAAUUUGGAGGCACAAAUAAGUGAGAACUUGGGGAUCCACUGAGGUCUGAGGCACGGUGGUACCAGAGGAGAUGAAGGGGCUUUCAGCAUGAAGCUGGUCCCCUGUCGACAGCACGCUGAUUUUCCCGUUGGGCUCUAUCAGCAUGUCCACUGUGAGACCAUGCUUGUGAAAAUACCAGGACGGUAAAUUAGUGAAUUCCAAAGUCAGGAUUUUUGUUGGAUCUGGCACAGUCACAGGAAAGUCUGAGUUUUCUCAAGGGCAUCCCUGUCUCACCGAGGGGCACCAAGGACAGACGACCAGAAGCAAAUGGCGCAGUCACCGUCAGAGGAGAGUAAAACUCAUUCUGAAACGGUUCCAAAUGCCCAUGCCUGCUCUGUGGUUUUCAGCAAAGCGGACCUUUCCAAAAGACCUCCAACAGGGACUUCCUGGAUGUGAGAACACUAACCAAUUCUCGUUCCUCUCAUCUUUUGCUUUAUUCCUUCCUUCCAUGCUGUUAUUGCGAAAAACUGGUAGUUAAAUUCAAUUGAUUCAAAAUAUUCGGGAUCCAUAUGGCCGCCAACCCUGGAGCUGAAGCGGCGAUAGCGCCUCACUGCUGUUUUCAAGCAUUUGCCUCUCCUCCAGUCCCCAGAUGGUGGGAGUAACAUUUAAACCUCCUUUUCUCUGCCUUGUACAAUAGACCUUGGCACCAUUUCAACUGUUUACUCCGGUAAUUAACAGCUCUGAUACCACAACAAUUACAACUCCUACACUCUCACCACAAUAAUGCUAUGAAUUAGUGAGAGCUAAUGGCUGGAAGGUAGAGUGUUUCCAGACUGUGGGAUCUGUGCAUUUUUAGAAUAAAAUAAAAGGUACAAACAGCACGCUUGCAGUAGACAAUGAUUACCUAGUAAUUAGUUUACACAAAGCUUCCUAUUUAAUGGCAAAACGCUGUAAUUAACGUGUGACAGAAAAUCAAAGGGUACUUUGUAAGCAUAUUAAAAAUUAACACUGCAGGCCCAUAGCUUUAUGUACUGAUUAGAAGCAUAUUAAAUCAAUAGGACACACAAACCAACAGCUUGGGUAGCUGAUUAUUAUAGGUCCUCAGAAGGGGUACCCUGGCUUUCAUUUCACUUGGGGAGGCAAUUUUCCUUCUCCUGUCAUCUUCCUCAGGCACAGAGAAACACCUCAAACUCAACCCUGGCAGCUUCAUGAAAAUAACCACUGAACUGGAAGAAAACAUUCUAAGUCAUUCUCAGAGAUGAAGACAAAUAUGUAAAUGAUUAAGACUUUCCAAUGAUUGUGGUGACGUGCUGCUACACUAAUUAGAAAAUACACCAACUGGAACCAGAAAAUAAAGCCACUGGGUUGCAAUCUUCCGGUCAGAAUAAUCUCUACUUUGUCAAGCCUCUUUAUUCAACUCAUAGAAAGUUCAAAUAAAUGGAACUGUUUUAUAUUUCUAAAUGAUAAGAAAGCAGGCUGCUAUGAAGACUUAUUCUUUCCAAGGCACUGUCUGGGUAAAGCAUAGGCUGGGAACAACUGGAUCAACCAACAUUCUGUAUCUUCAACAGCCACAACCCCAUAUAAUGAUGGCUGAUGGACAUAGACAGCAAUAUCCUGGAAGCCUACCAGAGCCUAAAGAACCUUCUGAAUCACCAAAGAAAGAUUAAGUUGUAUGUACUUGUUCAAUGUUACCUGUAUUUUGUUAUAAUACAAUUUUAUGGUAAUAAUAACAACAAUAAUAAUAGGUAGCAUUUCUUAAAGUCUUAUUAUGUGCUAAGCACACUGCUAGCCAAUUCAUAGAAUUAUCUCAUUUACUUGUCACCACUUCCCCAUGAGACAGGUACUAAUCUCUCUUUACAGAUAGAGAAAGGGAGACUUGGAGAGCUGAAGUAAUUUGCCUAUAGUUAUCCCCCAGGGAGCAUGGGAGUCUAACCUAGGUGUCCCUGGCUAUGGAACCCCAGGAAGCCAAACUACCUCUUAGUUACCCUGAAUGACUAGCCUGUUCCAACACUCAUUCUGCUUAAAAGGCAGUUUACUAUGUCAACCUGGAAUAGGAGACUAAAAAAAUUAAAACAAAAACAAAAUAUUUGGUUGCUUAUUUUUUUAAAAAACAGGGUGUUUCUGCUUUUAGAGAUAGGAGUCUUGUUCUGUCACCCAGGCUGGAGAGUGGUGGUGCAGUCAUGACUCAUUGCAGCCUCAAACUCCUGGGCUCGAGUGAUCCUCUUUCUUCAGGCUCCUAAGUAGCUGGAACUACAGGCACACACCUAAUUUUUAAAUUUUUUGUAGAGAUAGGGUCUCACUAUAUUGCCCAGGCUGGUCUUGAACUCCUGGCCUCAAGCCAACUCCCACCUCAGCCUUCCAAAGUGUUGGGAUUACAAAAUAUUACAGGAGUGAUCGACUGCACUGGGCUAAAAACAAGGGUUUUAAAUGCUUACCAUAUUUUUAAUGCUACAUCUGAUUGUGAAGGUGGGCUACUCAAAGCUUUUUGGGAAUUUACAGGCUCACUAAAAUGAUCACGAUAGUGUAUUAAAUUGAGAAAGGCAUUGAAAAUCUGUCAUUCCCAUGAACAACCAAAGGGUGAUGUCUAAAAUUCUCUCUCAUCACCCAUGCACAUAACCAGGUAUAUGAGGCAGUUGGGUUGCAAGAGCUGAAUCCUAGAAACUCCUAGGCAGGGCUCCUCCUCUCCAGCUCUGAGGUGUGUGUAUUGAUGGCCCCCUACACCUCCCAGUUUGCUGCCUUGUGGGAAAAGGAGACCAGCUCUUCUGUUAUCUAGGAAAGGGAAGAAAUUUGAGAGCAGUGGCCUCUGUGUUCCAGGAAUAUUUGCGUUUCCCACAAAUCUCUGGAAAGCAGAAAGCUUGCCACAAGGGCAGCACACGGUAUGAGUCACAAAGGCAAGGACCUGAGGGAGAACACUUCCCAGGACUUUCAAAUAAGGUCUUUCCUAAAUGUACUUGGCUCAGUGUGGCAAAAGCACUGGGCUAGCAGCAGUCAGAUGUGGGUUCAAAGCAAGGCACAAUCAUUUAUUAGCUAUAAAUUUGGGCAAGUCACUUCUUGAGAAUAAGUUUCUUCAUCUGUAAACAGAAGUAAUACCUUCCUUAUAUCUUAAAUUGGUGUGGAAGUAAAUGAGUAAAAACCUCAGGGUUUUUCUGAGUUUAAAUGAGACAAUUCAUGUAACGUGCUUAGCACAAUACCUGGUACCCAGUAGGUACUCUGCAGUAUUUAUUGAUGAUGAUGAUGAUGAUGAUGAUGAUGAUGAUGAUGACAAAGAAAUACAAGGAAAUGUCAACACCUUAACAGUGCAUUCAUAGAUCUACAAAAUGCUUAAUCUCAGUGUUCUGGCAACCACUAAAUACAUAAAGAUAAUCUAAGACAUCAAGAUUUCAACAUAUAAAAAUAAAUAUAAAAACAAGUGAACAAUAAUCAUUUAUAUGUAGUUUCAUGACUGGAAAAAAUAAUAACCUAGAUUUUUUCUUAACCUAGAAAAUCUAGAUUAAAAAAUAAAGAUCUUGCAUUUUUGAUAUAAAACACAAAUAAUAAGGACAUGAAAAAAGAAUAUCCCUUGCUAGUAAUCAAAUAAUAGCAAUGAGAAGCUGGAUUCUUAUAUCUAAAAUAAAAGUGCAAAUAGUUCAUAAUAUCCAUUGGUGGUAAGGUUGUGGUAAAACUAGUAUUCUUAUUCUCUGCCAGUUGCUUUGGAAAUUGGUACUAUCUUUUUAGGAAUAUGGCAAUAUGUAACAAAAGCCAUAAAAUAUUCUACUCCUGGGUCUUUCUCCUCGGGAAGUAACUCAACAGAAGCAAAAAGAGGUGUAUACAAAAACCAAAUAUAAAAACAAACAAAUCUUUCCUCCCUCUUUCCUCCCACUGCCAAAAAAUGAAAGCUGGGAAUAGCCUAAAUUUCCAACUUAGUUGAAUUGUUCAAUAUAUUAGAGUUCAUCAAUAUGAGAGAAUAUUAUGCAUCUAAUAAUUGUGACGACUAUGUAUAAACAUGGAAAAUAUUUAAGAUCUGAUGUUUAACUAGCAUAUACACUAUUAUUGUAGCUAUGAGAAAGAAAUACUGCAUAUUUAGAAAUUAAUAUACAAAAAUGAAAACAACUAUGUUUGGGGACAGUGAUUAUGUACUUUUAAAUUUUUUUUAAUCUUGUUAUCUUUAAACUUUUCUAAAAAUGAUGUGAUUACAAGCAAUGGCUCUUUGGGAUCACCUAAUAAAUACCUACUAAAUUCUAGACGGGACAACGAGCUCUGCCAUCCUGCAAUGGCUCCUGUGACCUAGUUCCAGGGCCAUUCUGAAUGGACAGAGGUCUUCACAAUGGAGGUGGAGAUGCAGGGAGCUCUAUGGCAUGAAAUGGUUAAUGAUUCUCUUUUGUAAUUGUGUUUUCUGUUUGCUGCCUUAGUUCUAAAAGGAGGCAAAACAACUGUGGUUUAUUCUACCUUUUCCAGGCAUAGUUCUUCUCCUACCUUUGUGAUCCCCAAAUUAAUAUCAAAUGUCUAAUUAGUUUUUUUCUCCAUUGGUGAUCCCCAAAUUAAUAUCAAAUGUCAGACAAAGUAAAUCAAAGUACAAAUAAAGGUAAAACUGCUCUUGCAAAGGGCUAAAAUAGCAAUGUUUACUAGAAGCAUUCAAGAGCCAGUUCAAUUUCCUAUUUCUCAUUAAGUGGUAAAAUAGUAAUGCCAAGACCACAUCCCAGAAUCUCCAGGGUAACAGAGGCCCAACGAAGGGCUGCAGAGAAACUUGAAAGUAAACUGGCUUAGUUCUUUACACACAGAAAUUGUUCUACAAAGAUCUCUUGCAAAGCAGUGUCACCAGUAGCAUCACUGCCACUAAGCCAAUGUCCCAGGAAUUGAGGAAAGGAAGACACCCUUAAAGAAAAAAAUGGAAAAAAGCCACAAGGACUGGUACCACAGUAAAUGUCUGCCUGGGUCUCCCUAAACUGUCUUAGGUGAGCUUACCCAGGAAUGUUUCUCCCCUACAUGUUUGCCUUCCUUUGUUUAAGCCUUUAUUCCUCCUAAAUGAAAAUAAAUACCCCCGACUGGGGAACGUGGAGUUUGGA